UGGGGAAUCUUGGACAAUGGGGGCAACCCUGAUCCAGCCAUGCCGCGUGAGUGAUGAAGGCCCUAGGGUCGUAAAGCUCUUUCGCCUGUGAAGAUAAUGACGGUAGCAGGUAAAGAAACCCCGGCUAACUCCGUGCCAGCAGCCGCGGUAAUACGGAGGGGGUUAGCGUUGUUCGGAAUUACUGGGCGUAAAGCGCACGUAGGCGGAUCUUUAAGUCGGGGGUGAAAUCCCGGGGCUCAACCCCGGAACUGCCUUCGAUACUGGGGAUCUUGAGGUCGAGAGAGGUGAGUGGAAUUCCGAGUGUAGAGGUGAAAUUCGUAGAUAUUCGGAGGAACACCAGUGGCGAAGGCGGCUCACUGGCUCGAUACUGACGCUGAGGUGCGAAAGUGUGGGGAGCAAACAGGAUUAGAUACCCCCGUAGUCC
rnacentral:rRNA from 1 species